rnacentral:rRNA from 1 species
GAUGAACGCUAGCGACAGGCUUAACACAUGCAAGUCGAGGGGCAGCAUAAGAGUAGCAAUACUUUGGUGGCGACCGGCGCACGGGUGAGUAACGCAUAUGCAACCUACCUAUCAGAGGGGAAUAACCCGGCGAAAGUCGGACUAAUACCGCAUAAAACAGGGGCACCGCAUGGUGAUAUUUGUUAAAGAAAUUCGCUGAUAGAUGGGCAUGCGUUCCAUUAGGUAGUUGGUGAGGUAACGGCUCACCAAGCCGACGAUGGAUAGGGGAACUGAGAGGUUGGUCCCCCACACUGGUACUGAGACACGGACCAGACUCCUACGGGAGGCAGCAGUGAGGAAUAUUGGUCAAUGGGCGAGAGCCUGAACCAGCCAAGUCGCGUGAAGGAAGAAGGAUCUAUGGUUCGUAAACUUCUUUUGCAGGGGAAUAAAGUGCGGGACGUGUCCUGUUUUGUAUGUACCCUGAGAAUAAGGAUCGGCUAACUCCGUGCCAGCAGCCGCGGUAACAC